GUCAAGUUGUGUUUGAAAUUUGAUUUUUUUCAGGGGCAAAAGGAAGCCUCUGCAUUGUUGUCAAAUAUGUAAAUAGCAUGUUUUUGCAGGUGCUAAAAAACAGACUCUGAGUGUGUGUGUGUGUGUGUGUGUGUGUGUGUGUGUGUGUGUGUGUGUGUGUGUGUGUGUGUGUGUGUGUGUGUGUGUGUGUGUGUGUGUGUGUGUGUAUCCUGCAGUACUCUGUACUCCUGCAGUGGCCAAAACGACUUUUAAGAAUGUGGAUUUUUGGGUCAUCUUUGGCGCCCCCUAGAACGUAAACCAUGGGGUGCAGCGGCAUGAUUUUUACAACUUUUAAUGGCCAUGGGGUGUAGAUUGGCCUGAGCAAAUUUGGUGUCAGUGGGACGAAAGCCUUAGGAGGAGUUAGCCACAUUCCAAUGUGUGCGAAUGGGCAAAAAAUGCGAAAUAGCCCUUUAGCCGUACAUUUUACAGAUACGUGCCCAUUGACUUUUUCGUAGAUCUUAUUGAGAUACACGUGUGUGUCAAAUUUUUUGUCAAUAUGACAAAGCGUACAGGCGUGAAUCUCAACAAUGUGUAUUUUCACCUUAGGGGACAAGAAAAAAUUGACUUUUUUGUCCUGCCAUGGGGGGGCGCUCUUUUGGGGAGUCAAAAUUCCUUCACAAAUGUGUUGAUGGCUGGACAUUGCAUCAUCCUAGAGAACUUGGAGGCCAGUGAGGACAAAAAUAAAAAGUUAUAAGACUUUUAAGAAUGUGGAUUUUUGGGUUUUGGAUGGAGCUUCAUGGUUGUCUUUUGGAGAAAUGACCAGUCAAGUUGUGUUUGAAAUUUGAUUUUUUUCAGGGGCAAAAGGAGCCUCUGCAUUCUUGUCAAAUAUGUAAAUAGCAUGUUUUUGCAGGUGCUAAAAAACAGACUCUGAGUGUGUGUGUGUGUGCGUGUGUCUGUGUGUGUGUGUGUGUGUGUGUGUGUGUGUGUGCGUUCAAGUCACAUGACAUAUUUAACUGGAUGUAGCUGCAAGACGGAGCCUCAUUGACUCUCCGUUUCAACUUCUCUCAAAAGUGAGGACCUCAACCUAUAUACCAGUUUUUAAAUUGUGUUGAUAGGCCAAAUAAAACCAGAGUUAUGAUAAAUUAUGUCCGCGAUACUUGUUUUCUGCUUAUUUUGAUCACGUUCGGCGCUCGUUCGCGCUGUAUGAGACAGGAAAACAUAGCAUGCAGACAUUAGCGACAGGUCUUACAGGCGGAAAAGGCUUGCCAAAGGAAAAAAAAAACACACCACAACAUCUCUCCUAUUGGUGGAAAACUUCACCACAACAACAAAUCCAAAAUUAUAUGGUGACUGAUUGACAAGGGGCGGGCGCUUACGUUCUUCCUGCAAUAUGAGAAGGGAGGGAGGGACUCUCAGCAGGGAUGCAGUCUGGGACACGUAGUUGCAAACCUAGCGACUUUGUUGUUAGAUUCAAUGACUUUUCAGACCCCCUAACGACUUUUUUUUAGAAAGAAAGUGACUUUUAUCGACUUCUUCUGGAGUUUAGAGACUCUGACAAUAAGCAGGCUUUCCUUACUGAGGAGUUAGCAACGCUGCUAAGGGUGCAGAGCCACACAUGCGCUCCGAGCUCUGCAUGGGAGACUGAAGCUGACAGAGCUGCAGCAGUUAGCAGGUUUCACCCUCAGAGACCACCAGGGGUUCAUGUUGAGGCAUUUUCAGUUUUUUUUUUUUUUUUGCCAUAGACACUGUCAGCACAAUCUGCAGUUACACUAACAAAAAUGCUGCAAAAAACAAAGAAUUAUGGAAAAAUUACACAUGGACUAACAUAGAGGAGGAUCUACACAAGUUUUUUACAUCAUGUUUUACAUCAUGCAUCAUUUACAUCAUGUUUUUUUGUAGUGGCAUAAAUAAAAAGUGACAUUUGUGAGACUAUACAGUGUUUUGUAAAUAAUUUGGUGCCGGUGGAACGAAAGCCUUAGGAGGAGUUAGCCACAUUCCAAUGUGUGCGGAUCAGCAAAAAAUGCGGAAUAACCCUUUAACCGUACAUUUGACAGAUACGCGCCCAUUGACUUUUUCGUAGAUCUUAUUGAGAUACAUGUGUGUGUCAAUUUUUGUGUCAUUUUGCCAAAGCGUAAAGGCGUGACACUCAACAAUGUGUAUUUUCACCUUAGGGGACAAGAAAAAAUGGACUUUUUUCUCCUGCCAUGGGGGGGCGCUCUUUUAGGGAGUCAAAAUUCCUUCACAAAUGUGUUGAUGGCUGGACAUUGCAUCACCCUAAAAAAUUUGGAGGCCAGUGAGGGCAAAAAUAAAAAGUUAUAAGACUUUUAAAUAUGUGGAUUUUAGGGUUAUCUUUGGCGCCCCCUAGAACCUAAACCGUGGGGUGCAGCGUCAUGAUUUGAAUAACUUUUAAUGGCCAUGGGGUGUAGAUUGGCCUGAGCAAAUGUGGUGCCGGUGGAACUAAAGCCUUCGGAGGAGUUAGCGAAAUUCCAAUGUGUGCGGAUCGGCAAAAAAUGCGGAAUAACCCUUUAACUGUACAUUUUACAUAUACGUGGCCAUUGACUUUUGCGAAGAUCUUAUUGAAAUACACGUGUAUGUCAAAUUUUGUGUCAUUUUGACAAAGCGUACAGGCGUGACACUCUACAAUGUGUAUUUUCACCUUAGGGGACAAGAAAAAAUUGACUUUUUUCUCCUGUCAUGGGGGGCGCUCUUUUGGGGAGUAAAAAUUCCUUCACAAAUGUGUUGAUGGCUGGACAUUGCAUCAUCCUAGAAAACUUGGAGGCCAGUGAGGGCAAAAAUAAAAAGUUAUAAGACUUUUAAAUAUGUGGAUUUUAGGGUUAUCUUUGGCGCCCCCUAGAACCUGAAACCGUGGGGUGCAGCGUCAUGAUUUGAAUAACUUUUAAUGGCCAUGGGGUGUAGAUUGGCCUGAGCAAAUGUGGUGCCGGUGGAACUAAAGCCUUCGGAGGAGUUAGCGAAAUUCCAAUGUGUGCGGAUCAGCAAAAAAUGCGAAAUAACCCUUUAACUGUACAUUAGACAGAUACGCCCGCACUGACUUUUUUGUAGAUCUUAUUGAGAUACAUGUGUGUGUCAAUUUUUCUGUCAUUUUGACAAAGCGUACAGGCGUCACAAUAGUGUGAAUUUUCACCUUAGGGGGCGCUAUGGAGCCAUUUUGCAUUUUAUUGUUUGGGCGACUUCAGAAUAUCAAAUAUUUCACCAGGCCCGGUCGUCCUGCCAAAUUUCAUGAGUUUUCGCCAGUGGGAAGUGGGCCAUUUUCCAGUUCAAAGGGGAAGAAAAAGAAAAACUAGGGCCCCGUUGGGGCACUGGCGGGCCCGAGCCGUGUCACGCCGCCCCCAGCGCGACCGCCUCCCCCACCCGAUCGCGUCACACUCAAGGUCCAAAGAUGGUGUGCGCACUUGUUUGUGGUCAUUUACCAUUAUAAUGAACGGGAGGCGCAGUUUCUACCAAAACGCUCGCUGCAGAAAAACUCCAUGUCCUAUUUGAAAAAAGUCUGGACCAUGAGUGAGGGCACAAACACAGCUAAGAUAUAUCCGAAUGGCAAGUUGCUCCUCCUUUCGGUUUUGCCGAGAGAGCGAUGCGUUUGAGCCAUUGAGCGAUGGGCAGGAAAAACUUGACUUUUUCUCCUGCCAUGGGGGGCGCUCUUUUGGGGAGAAAAAAUUCCUUCACAAAUGUGUUGAUGGCUGAAUAUUGCAUUAUCCUAGAAAACUUGGAGGCCAGUGAGGACAAAAAUAAAAAGUUAUAAGACUUUUGAAAAUGUGGAUAUUUGGGUCAUCUUUGGCGCCCCCUAGAACGUAAACCGUGGAGUGCAGCGUCAUGAUUUGUACAACUUUGAAUGGCCAUGGGGUGUAGAUUGGCCUGAGCAAAUUUGGUGCCGAUGGGACGAAAGCUUUAGGAGGAGUUAGCCACAUUCCAAUGUGUGCGAAUCGGCAAAAAAUGCAAAAUAGCCCUUUGACCGUACAUUUUACAGAUACGUGGCCAUUGACUUUUUCGAAGAUCUUAUUGAGAUACACGUGUAUGUAAAAUUUUGUGUCAAUACGACAAAACAUACAGGCGUAGCACUCAACAAUGUGUAUUUUCACCUUAGUGGACAAGAAAAAAUGACUUUUUUCUCCUGCCAUGGGGGGGCGCUCUUUUGCCGAGUAAAAAUUCCUUCACAAAUGUGUUGAUGGCUGGACAUUGCAUCAUCCUAGAAAACUUGGAGGCCAGUGGGGACAAAAAUAAAAAGUUAUAAGACUUUUAAAUAUGUGGAUUUUACGGUUAUCUUUGGCCCCCCUAGAACCUAAACCGUGGGGUGCAGCGUCAUGAUUUGAAUAACUUUUAAUGGCCAUGGGGUGUAGAUUGGCCUGAGCAAAUGUGGUGCCGGUGGAACGAAAGCCUUCGGAGGAGUUAGCGAAAUUCCAAUGUGUGCGGAUCGGCAAAAAAUGCGGAAUAACCCUUUAACCGUACAUUUGACAGAUACGCGCGCAUUGACUUUUUCGUAGAUCUUAUUGAGAUACAUGUGUGUGUCAAUUUUUGUGUCAUUUUGCCAAAGCGUACAGGUGUUACACUCAACAAUGUGUAUUUUCACCUUGGGGACAAGAAAAAAUGGACUUUUUUCUCCUGCCAUGGGGGGGCGCUCUUUUGGGGAGUAAAAAUUCCUUCACAAAUGUGUUGAUGGCUGGACAUUGCAUCAUCCUAGAAAACUUGGAGGCCAGUGAGGGCAAAAAUAAAAAGUUAUAAGACUUUUAAAUAUGUGGAUCUUAGGGUUAUCUUUGGCGCCCCCUAGAACCUAAACCGUGGGGUGCAGCGUCAUGAUUUGAAUAACUUUUAAUGGCCAUGGGGUGUAGAUUGGCCUGAGCAAAUGUGGUGCCGGUGGAACGAAAGCCUUCGGAGGAGUUAGCGAAAUUCCAAUGUGUGCGGAUCGGCAAAAAAUGCGAAAUAACCCUUUAACCGUACAUUUGACAGAUACGCCCGCACUGACUUUUUUGUAGAUCUUAUUGAGAUACAUGUGUGUGUCAAUUUUUGUGUCAUUUUGACAAAGCGUACAGGCGUGACAGUCAAUAGUGUGAAUUUUCACCUUAGGGGGCGCUAUGGAGCCAUUUUGCAUUUUCUUGUUUGGGCGACUUCGGAAUAUCAAAUUUUUCACCAGGCCCGGUCGUCCUGCCAAAUUUCAUGAGUUUUCGCCAGUGGGAAGUGGGCCAUUUUCCAGUUCAAAGGGGAGGAAAAAUAACUAGGACCCCGUUGGGGCACUGGCGGGCCCGAGCCGUGUCGCGCCCCCCCCCAACGUGCUGCCUCCCCGUCCCAUUUGUGUCCUCUGGCCAUCGCCCUCUCUGGUAACGCCCAUCACUGCAAAGACCCUUUUCCUUCAUCGGCGUUUGCUGUUCUUCCUGCCAGUGCGUGUUGCUUUCACUUACACUUGCCACAGCCAGCCUCGUGAGUGCCUAGCCUAUUGGAUAUCACUGUCACCUACACAGGACAGUCAUUACCUUUCUAUUAAUACUUUGUGUUUUAAUUUCACAUUAAUUUCCAUAUUGUAUAAACGACUGGAAAAAACUUGAGCCCCUGCCCCUGUAUAAUCAUGUGCAUGUCUCUGUUCUAGCUCCAAGGUGAAUCUUCACUGCUCAUGUUCUCCUCAGAAGCACUCACCUCACUCCCCUCAGGUUACUGUACACAUGCACCAACUGCCUGCUUCAGGUUUGGAUGGAGCUUCAUGGUUGUCUUUUGGAGAAAUGACCAGUCAAGUUGUGUUUGAAAUUUGAUUUUUUUCAGGGGCAAAAGGAGCCUCUGCAUUCUUGUCAAAUAUGUAAAUAGCAUGUUUUUGCAGGUGCUAAAAACCAGACUCUGAGUGUGUGUGUGUGUGUGUGCGUGUGUGUGUCUGUGUGUGCGUUCAAGUCACAUGACAUAUUUAACCGGAUGUAGCUGCAGCCUCGUUGACUCUCCGUUUCAACUUAUCUCAAAAGUGAGGACCUCAACCUAUAUACCAGUUUUUAAAUUGUGUUGAUAGGCCAAAUAAAACCAGAGUUAUGAUAAAUUAUGUCCGCGAUACUUUUUUUCUGCUUAUUUUGAUCACGUUCGGCGCUCGAUCGCGCUGUAUGAGACAGGAAAACAUAGCAUGCAGACAUUAGCGACAGCUCUUACAGGCGGAAAAGGCUUGCCAAAAGAAAAAAAAAACACACCACAACAUCUCUCCUAUUGGUGGAAAACUUCACCACAACAACCAAUCCAAAAUUAUAUGGUGACUGAUUGACAAGGGGCGGGCGCUUACGUUCUUCCUGCAACAUGAGAAGGGAGGGAGGGACUCUCAGCAGGGAUGCAGUCUGGGACACGUAGUUGCAAACCUAGCGACUUUGUUGUUAGAUUCAAUGACUUUUCAGACCCCCUAACGACUUUUUUUUAGAAAGAAAGGGACUUUUAUCGACUUCUUCUGGAGUUUAGAGACUCUGACAUGAAGCAGGCUUUCCUUACUGAGGAGUUAGCAACGCUGCUAAGGGUGCAGAGCCACACAUGCGCUCAGAGCUCUGCAUGGGAGACUGAAGCUGACAGAGCUGCAGCAGUUAGCAGGUUUCACCCUCAGAGACCACCAGGGGUUCAUGUUGAGGCAUUUUAAUUUUUUUUUUUUUGUGCCAUAGACACUGUCAGCACAAUCUGCAGUUACACUAACAAAAAUGCUGCAAAAAACAAAGAAUUAUGGAAAAAUUACACAUGGACUGACAUACAGGAGGAUCUACACAAGUUUUUUACAUCAUGUUUUACAUCAUGCAUCAUUUACAUCAUGUUUUUUUGUAGUGGCAUAAAUAAAAAGUGACAUUUGUGAGACUAUACAGUGUUUUGUAAAUAAUUUUACAAAGAACGCCUGGGCCAUUGCCUGCAUUUUGAUGUAAAUAGAGGUAAAUCACUAUGUUCUUUGUUAAAAAUUUGCAUAUGUUUUGAAGUUUACAAUUUUUAUUUGAAGUUUAAGUUUUAAAAACAGUUCAUCACACAUAUUUGUGGUUUUCACAGUAAAAAUGUUACUUUUUUCCACUCGGAUUUUAUGUUUUGUGUGUGAAUUUGGGUCCAUUGUGUAAAUUCAGUAUGUCAACAUGAUAAAAUAACUGUAAAUUCGCACAGGUGAGGUUGUGCUGAAAAAAAUGAUACCAGGCAAGGCACGUGAUUGUCAAAUUUUGUGUCAAUAUGACAAAGCGUAUAGGCGUGAAUCUCAACAAUAUGUAUUUUCACCUUAGGGGACAAGAAAAAAUGGACUUUUUUCUCCUGCCAUGGGGGGGCGCUCUUUUGGGGAGUAAAAAUUCCUUCACAAAUGUGUUGAUGGCUGGACAUUGCAUCAUCCUAGAAAACUUGGAGGCCAGUGAGGACAAAAAUAAAAAGUUAUAAGACUUUUAAAUAUGUGGAUUUUAGGGUUAUCUUUGGCGCCCCCUAGAACCUAAACCGUGGGGUGCAGCGUCAUGAUUUUGAUAACUUUUAAUGGCCAUGGGCUGUAGAUUGGCCUGAGCAAAUGUGGUGCCGGUGGAACGAAAGCCUUAGGAGGAGUUAGCCACAUUCCAAUGUGUGCGGAUCGGCAAAAAAUGCGGAAUAACCCUUUAACCGUACAUUUGACAGAUACGCGCGCAUUGACUUUUUCGUAGAUCUUAUUGAGAUACAUGUGUGUGUCAAAUUUUGUGUCAUUUUGACAAAGCGUAUAGGCGUGACACUCAACAAUGUGUAUUUUCACCUUAGGGGACAAGAAAAAAUGGACUUUUUUCUCCUGCCAUGGGGGGGCGCUCUUUUGGGGAGUAAAAAUUCCUUCACAAAUGUGUUGAUGGCUGGACAUUGCAUCAUCCUAGAAAACUUGGAGGCCAGUGAGGACAAAAAUAAAAAGUUAUAAGACUUUUAAAUAUGUGGAUUUUAGUGUUAUCUUUGGCGCCCCCUAGAACCUAAACCUUGGGGUGCAGCGUCAUGAUUUUGAUAACUUUUAAUGGCCACGGGGUGUAGAUUGGCCUGAGCAAAUGUGGUGCCGGUGGAACGAAAGCCUUCGGAGGAGUUAGCGAAAUUCCAAUGUGUGCAGAUCGGCAAAAAAUGCGAAAUAACCCUUUAACCGUAAUUUUGACAGAUACGGCCGCACUGACUUUUUUGUAGAUCUUAUUGAGAUACAUGUGUGUGUCAAUUUUUGUGUCAUUUUGACAAAGCGUACAGUCGUGACAGUGAAUUGUGUGAAUUUUCACCUUAGGGGGCGCUAUGGAGCCAUUUUGCAUUUUAUUGUUUUGGCGACUUCAGAAUAUCAAAUUUUUCACCAGGCCCGGUCGUCCUGCCAAAUUUCAUGAGUUUUCGCCAGUGGGAAGUGGGCCAUUUUCCAGUUCAAAGGGGAGGAAAAAGAAAAAAGAAAGAAAGAAACAAAGACUAGGGCCCCGGUGGGGCACUGUCGGGCCCGAGCCGCGUUGUGCCGCCCCCAGCGCGACCGCCUCCCCCUCCCGAUCGCGUCACACUCAAGGUCCAAAGAUGGUGUGCGCACUUGUCUGUGGUCAUUUCCCAUUAUAAUGAAUGGGAGGCGCAGUUUCUACCAAAACACUCGCUGCAGACAAACUUCAUGUCCUAUUUGAAAAAAGUCUGGACCAUGAGUGAGGGCACAAACACAGCUGGGAUAUAUCCAAAUGGCAGGUUGCUCCUGGAUACGGUGUUGCCUGGAGAGCGAUGCGAUUGAGCCAUUGAGCGAUGGGCAGGAAAAACUUGACUUUUUCUCCUGCCAUGGGGGGGGGAGAAUGUGGAUUCUUUUAAGAAUGUGGAUUUUUUGGUCAUCUUUGGCGCCCCCUAGAACGUAAACCGUGGGGUGCAGCGUCAUGAUUUUUACAACUUUGAAUGGCCAUGGGGUGUAGAUUGGCCUGAGCAAAUUUGGUUUCAGUGGGACGAAAGCCUUAGGAGGAGUUAGCCACAUUCCAAUGUGUGCGAAUCGGCAAAAAAUGCAAAAUAGCCCUCUAACCGUACAUUUGACAGAUACGCACCCAUUGACUUUUUCGUAGAUCUUAUUGAGAUACACGUGAUUGUCAAAUUUUGUGUCAAUAUGACAAAGCGUACAGGUGUCACACUCAACAAUGUGAAUUUUCACCUUACGGGACAAGAAAAAAUUGACUUUUUUCUCCUGCCAUGGGGGGGCGCUCUUUUAGGGAGUAAAAAUUCCUUCACAAAUGUGUUGAUGGCUGGACAUUGCAUCAUCCUAGAAAACUUGGAGGCCAGUGAGGACAAAAAUAAAAAGUUAUAAGACUUUGAAAUAUGUGGAUUUUAGGGUUAUCUUUGGCGCCCCCUAGAACCUAAACCGUGGGGUGCAGCGUCAUGAUUUGAAUAACUUUUAAUGGCCAUGGGGUGUAGAUUGGCCUGAGCAAAUGUGGUGCCGGUGGAACGCCAGCCUUAGGAGGAGUUAGCGAAAUUCCAAUGUGUGCGGAUCAGCAAAAAAUGCAGAAUAACCCUUUAACCGUACAUUUGACAGAUACGCGCGCAUUGACUUUUUCGUAGAUCUUAUUGAGAUACAUGUGUGUGUCAAAUUUUGUGUCAAUAUGACAAAGCGUACAGGCGUGACACUCAACAAUGUGUAUUUUCACCUUAGGGGACAAGAAAAAAUGGACUUUUUUCUCCGGCCAUGGGGGGGCGCUCUUUUGGGGAGUAAAAAAUCCUUCACAAAUGUGUUGAUGGCUGGACAUUGCAUCAUCCUAGAAAACUUGGAGGCCAGUGAGGGUAAAAAUAAAAAGUUAUAAGACUUUUAAAUAUGUGGAUUUUAGGGUUAUCUUUGGCGCCCCCUAGAACCUAAACCGUGGGGUGCAGCGUCAUGAUUUGAAUAACUUUUAAUGGCCAUGGGGUGUAGAUUGGCCUGAGCAAAUGUGGUGCCGGUGGAAAGAAAGCCUUCGGAGGAGUUAGCGAAAUUCCAAUGUGUGCGGAUCUGCAAAAAAUGCGAAAUAACCCUUUAACCGUACAUUUGACAGAUACGCCCGCACUGACUUUUUUGUAGAUCUUAUUGAGAUACAUAUGUGUGUCAAUUUUUGUGUCAUUUUGACAAAGCGUAAAGGCGUGACAGUCAAUAGUGUGAAUUUUCACCUUAGGGGGCGCUAUGGAGCCAUUUUGCAUUUUCUUGUUUGGGCGACUUCGGAAUAUCAAAUUUUUCACCAGGCCCGGUCAUCCUGCCAAAUUUCAUGAGUUUUCGCCAGUGGGAAGUGGGCCAUUUUCCAGUUCAAAGGGGAGGAAAAAGAAGAAAGAAAGAAACAAAGAAAAACCACUUGGGGAAUAAUAGGGCUCUCGCAGCUGCUUAGCAGCUACGCUCGGGCCCUAAUAAUAAUAAUAAUAACAAAAGAAGGAAACUACAGGAACAAGAGGGCUCUCGCAGCUGCUUAGCAGCUACGCUCGGGCCCUAACUAGGGCCCCGUUGGGGCACUGGCGGGCCCGAGCCGUGUCACGCCGCCCCCAGCGCGACCGCCUCCCCCACCCGAUCGCGUCACACUCAAGGUCCAAAGAUUGUGUGCGCACUUGUUUGUGGUCAUUUACCAUUAUAAUGAACGGGAGGCGCAGUUUCUACCAAAACGCUCGCUGCAGAAAAACUCCAUGUCCUAUUUGAAAAAAGUCUGGACCAUGAGUGAGGGCACAAACACAGCUAAGAUAUAUCCAAAUGGCAAGUUGCUCCUCCUUUCGCUUUUGCCGAGAGAGCAGUGCGUUUGAGCCAUUGAAUGAUGAACAGGAAAAACUUGACUUUAUUCUCCUGCCAUGGGGGGGCGCUCUUUUAACGAGAAAAAACUCCUUCACAAAUGUGUUGAUGGCUGGACAUUGCAUCAUCCUAGAAAACAUGGAGGCCAGUGAGGACAAAAAUAAAAAGUUAUAAGACUUUUAAAUAUGUGGAUUUUAGGGUUAUCUUUGGCGCCCCCUAGAACCUAAACCGUGGGGUGCAGCGUCAUGAUUUGAAUAACUUUUAAUGGCCAUGGGGUGUAGAUUGGCCUGAGCAAAUGUGGUGCCGGUGGAACGAAAGCCUUCGGAGGACUUAGCGAAAUUCCAAUGUGUGCGGAUCGGCAAAAAAUGCGGAAUAACCCUUUAACCGUACAUUUGACAGAUAUGCGCGCAUUUACUUUUUCGUAGAUCUUAUUGAGAUACAUGUGUGUGUCAAUUUUUGUGUCAUUUUGCCAAAGCGUACAGGUGUUACACUCAACAAUUUGUAUUUUCACCUUAGGGGACAAGAAAAAAUGGACUUUUUUCUCCUGCCAUGGGGGGGCGCUCUUUUGGGGAGUAAAAAUUCCUUCACAAAUGUGUUGAUGGCUGGACAUUGCAUCAUCCUAGAAAACUUGGAGGCCAGUGAGGGCAAAAAAAAAAAGUUAUAAGACUUUUAAAUAUGUGGAUCUUAGGGUUAUCUUUGGCGCCCCCUAGAACCUAAACCGUGGGGUGCAGCGUCAUGAUUUGAAUAACUAUUAAUGGCCAUGGGGUGUAGAUUGGCCUGAGCAAAUGUGGUGGCGGUGGAACGAAAGCCUUCGGAGGAGUUAGCGAAAUUCCAAUGUGUGCACAUCGGCAAAAAAUGCGGAAUAACCCUUUAACCGUACAUUUGACAGAUACGCCCGCACUGACUUUUUUGUAGAUCUUAUUGAGAUACAUGUGUGUGUCAAUUUUUGCGUCAUUUUGACAAAGCGUACAGGCGUGACAGUCAAUAGUGUGAAUUUUCACCUUAGGGGGCGCUAUGGAGCCAUUUUGCAUUUUCUUGUUUGGGCGACUUCGGAAUAUCAAAUUUUUCACCAGGCCCGGUCGUCCGGCCAAAUUUCAUGAGUUUUCGCCAGUGGGAAGUGGGCCAUUUUCCAGUUCAAAGGGGAGGAAAAAUAACUAGGACCCCGUUGGGGCACUGGCGGGCCCGAGCCGUGUCGCGUCCCCCCCCAACGUGCUGCCUCCCCGUCCCAUUUGUGUCCUCUGGCCAUCGCCCUCUCUGGUAACGCCCAUCACUGCAAAGACCCUUUUCCUUCAUCGGCGUUUGCUGUUCUUCCUGCCAGUGCGUGUUGCUUUCACUUACACUUGCCACAGCCAGCCUCGUGAGUGCCUAGCCUAUUGGAUAUCACUGUCACCUACACAGGACAGUCAUUACCUUUCUAUUAAUACUUUGUGUUUUAAUUUCACAUUAAUUUCCAUAUUGUAUAAACGACUGGAAAAAACUUGAGCCCCUGCCCCUGUAUAAUCAUGUGCAUGUCUCUGUUCUAGCUCCAAGGUGAAUCUUCACUGCUCAUGUUCUCCUCAGAAGCACUCACCUCACUCCCCUCAGGUUACUGUACACAUGCACCAACUGCCUGCUUCAGGUUUGGAUGGAGCUUCAUCGUUGUCUUUUGGAGAAAUGACCAGUCAAGUUGUGUUUGAAAUUUGAUUUUUUUCAGGGGCAAAAGGAGCCUCUGCAUUCUUGUCAAAUAUGUAAAUAGCAUGUUUUUGCAGGUGCUAAAAACCAGACUCUGAGUGUGUGUGUGUGUGUGUGUGUGUGUGUGCGUGUGUGUGUCUGUGUGUGCGUUCAAGUCACAUGACAUAUUUAACCGGAUGUAGCUGCAAGACGGAGCCUCGUUGACUCUCCGUUUCAACUUAUCUCAAAAGUGAGGACCUCAACCUAUAUACCAGUUUUUAAAUUGUGUUGAUAGGCCAAAUAAAACCAGAGUUAUGAUAAAU